AGAGAGCCUGAGAGGGACACAUCACCCUCCAUCCAAACAGCCCUUCUCACAAGACCACGUGGAAGUCAUCACAGUGGAACCAUGACCCACCCAACGGGACAGAAUAAACCUAGGUUCAGAUAGGGACGAUGCUGUCUUCCCAGAGAUGGGGCAAGGACCAACAUCCACAGUUUCAUCAAGAGCAUCACCUUCCGAAUUCCCCCCUCAGGCCUCCCCGCCCAGUCCCGCCCACACUGGCCCGUUUCCAGACAGGGCGGGCCCUGCUCCCUGGCGCUACGACCACAGCCUGAGCCCCAAGCCCCCACCCUGUCCUCACACUUGGCAUCGCCUGUCAGGUGGCAGGGCUGGGCUUCGUCCUCAGAGUGGGCAAAGCGGAUGUUGCCGAGGUGCAGCAGUCCGGCCAGGACCUGAGCGGGCAAGAGAGGACAUGGUGUGAGCUCUUUCUCCAGCGCUGGAGCCUCGCCCAGGAAGGGCCCGUCUCCUGCUGAAUAGUACCAGGGUAAGAAGAGAACCUCCUAAUUGAUGCCCCCUGAGAAGGGACCCCACCGGCACAAUUCUAUAAGAGUUACAGGCAUCACCUUGUUUAGUCCUGUCAACUACCAGUGAGGAAUGUGCUGUGAUAAUGCCCAUGACAGAGGUGACAGAGGGAGAAGUUCAAUCAUACAGGGGUCCUGGCUGGCUCAGAGGAGUGUGUGACUCUCAAUCUUGGGAUCGUGUGUUCAAGUCCCACAUUGGGUGUAGAGAUUACUUAAA